UACGGGGGGAGCAAGCGUUGUUCGGAUUUACUGGGCGUAAAGGGCGCGUAGGCGGCCAGUGCAAGUCAGUUGUGAAAUCUCCGAGCUUAACUCGGAAAGGUCAACUGUUACUGCUCGGCUAGAGUGCGGAAGGGGCAACUGGAAUUCUUGGUGUAGCGGUGAAAUGCGUAGAUAUCAAGAGGAACACCUGCGGCGAAGGCGGGUUGCUGGGCCGACACUGACGCUGAUGCGCGAAAGCUAGGGGAGCGAACGGG
rnacentral:rRNA from 1 species